AUACGGAGGGAGCAAGCGUUGUUCGGAAUCACUGGGCGUAAAGCGAGUGUAGGUUGUCAGGUAAGUAGGAUGUGAAAGCCCGGGGCUCAACCCCGGAAUUGCAUUCUAAACUGCCUGGAUAGAGUCCCGGAGAGGGAGGUGGAAUUCCGAGUGUAGAGGUGAAAUUCGUAGAUAUUCGGAGGAACACCAGAGGCGAAGGCGACCUCCUGGACGGUGACUGACACUGAGACUCGAAAGCGUGGGGAGCAAACAGGAUUAGAUACCCUUGUAGUCC
rnacentral:rRNA from 1 species